AACGAACGCUGGCGGCAGGCUUAACACAUGCAAGUCGAACGGUUGUAGCAAUACAGCAGUGGCAGACGGGUGAGUAACACGUGGGAACCUUCCUAGAGGUACGGAACAACUCAGGGAAACUUGAGCUAAUACCGUAUACGUCCGUGAGGAGAAAGAUUUAUCGCCCUUAGACGGGCCCGCGUCGGAUUAGCUAGUUGGUGGGGUAACGGCCCACCAAGGCGACGAUCCGUAGCUGAUCUUAGAGGAUGAUCAGCCACACUGGGACUGAGACACGGCCCAGACUCCUACGGGAGGCAGCAGUGGGGAAUCUUGGACAAUGGGCGCAAGCCUGAUCCAGCCAUGCCGCGUGAGUGAAGAAGGUCUUCGGAUUGUAAAGCUCUUUUACCAGGGACGAUAAUGACGGUACCUGGAGAAUAAGCCCCGGCAAACUUCGUGCCAGCCGCCGCGGUAAUAC
rnacentral:rRNA from 1 species